UUGGAACGUAGGAUCACAUGAUUCUUCAUUCUUGUAGCGUGGUCCCUCUGUUUUGUUGUGUUUAUCUAAAAGAUUUGAAGGUCUCCUCUAGCGUAUGCAGGGUGAGCAACCAUAAUUGGAUACAUUGCUUUGUACUACUCCUUAUGUUUUUCUUCUUUUGGAAUUUUGUUAUCAAUAAAUUCUGAUGUCGUGUUUCUCCUUCAUCAUUCUCUUUUUUCUUUAAUACCUUAUUAAUCCUUCCAUUGCUUAUCGCCUACCUCAACGCCUGUAUCUUGGGCUCGUGUGUCUCUUUGUUUCUUCUGUUUAUAACCCAGAAAAGGCUAAUUACUCAUCAACAAAACAACCAACAUAAUGUUUUGAUGUUUCUUUGUUCUGUAUAAUCUGGGAAGAUGAUAUUUGGUGUUUUACGAUGUGUGGUUGGACAAGAUGAGAUCCCAUGGGGAUUAUCGUGCGUGUUGGAAUUGGUGGUCUCGGAAAGAUCUUAUUGCUGCUGGAGACCAUUCUGGGGGAGAAGAUUUGACAUAACCAAUCAAACAGCACCAGCAUGCGGAUGCGGCCAAGACAUGGAUGUUCCUGGCUGAACAAAAUCAGACACAUCGGAUAUGUCUGAAGUGCCACGGGUCUGAACCACAUGAUGCAGCCCAAUCUUCUGGCCCAACAAAAGCGUGUAACUUGUCAUUUGUUUGAUUAAUUCUUAGAAUGCAUAUGUUUAUCACUUUAUCUAGUAUUUUAGGUCCAUGCUUCCCAUUAUCUUCGUAUUUUCCAGUUGCAUUUAGGGUUUGCUGCAUAUUUAUAUUGCUGUAAAACAUUUGGUUGUUACAUGAACACAUUCCAAUAUCUGAUUUCGGUUCAAAUAGGACCAAUCUGAUGAGGAUCGGUCGGGUUCCACUAUAGGCUCAACCAGUUAAUAUAGUUCCUGCAUUUUUUUUAACAAAA